ACUGUGGGUGCUCUACAGGCUGGGUGAGGGCAGCGUUUGCUGUCGUAUCUUUGCCGAGCCGUGAGCCUCCAGUGUUGGCUCCGUCUCCCUGAGACUCGUUGUCCCGACUAUGGGAUGGGCUGCCUGUCACGGAGAUAUCCGCCCAGGCCGCGCGCUCUCCCGAGCCUCCUCACCCUGUCCUCGUCCCCGCUGCCCCGGCUAGCGGCACCCAGGGCCCUGUAGGCAUUUUACGCAGGAAGGGGUGAGGAUUGAGGCCCAGACUGCCACGGUCAGCCUGAGGUCUGGGCUGGGGUCGGGUCUGCCGACCCGCGGGACCCACAGGGGUAUCCGCCUUUCAGUGUGCAGCUCCGCCCCCAGGGUCCCGAGGCGUUGGCGGUGAUGACAGACCGGCUCAGGUGAGUUGAGGGUGCUCCCUUGGCCCUCGCUAACUUAGACCCCGAUAUCUGGGAUGUUGGUAUCCUGAGACUUUUCCUCCUCGCCGCAUUUGCCUCUCUGCCCUUAAUUACUUGGGCUUUGGGAGUCCCUUCUGGCCCAUAAUUCAGCGGUUGUGCAGGAGAGUUCCCAUUUCUGUCAGUCAGUAGGAUGUGAUAUAGAAAGUGUUAAAGACACAGAGACUAGCAAAUCCUUGGCAGUGAGGAUGAGCUGGGAAUGUUCAGAGAACCACAACCCCACUUAGGUCUUUUGAGAACAGUGAGCAGGGGCAGGAGUCAGGCGGAGAAUGGAUCUAGACCUCUGUUCUGAGGAUGCUGGGCACCAUGGGAGAUCUAGAGCAGAGGAGGAAGAUGAUCUGACUCAGGUGUUGGGAGGCUGUCUCUGGCUAGAGGGGAGAACAGACUGUACUUGAAGAAGGCCCAUGAAGAGGCUGCUGGUGACAGGUGGCUGCACCAGGGUGGUGGCAAUGAAGAUGGCAGAUAUGCUUGUACUCUGGAUCUGUUAUUUGAGUAGGACCAGCCCAACUGCCUGAUGUGAGGCAGUGAAAGACACUGAGCUAUCAAGGGUUAGCCUAGGUGUUUGGACUCAGUGGUUUGAUGGAUGGAAGAUAUAUCAACAGAUGUGGAAGUUGAUGUCUAGAGCAGUUUCCAGGGACAAGAUCUAGAGUGUGGUUUUGGAGAUUUUAAGCAUGAUAUAUCCAAGUACUCUUGAAUGGGGCCGCUGUGUAGGCUCCCGGAUGCGCAACUCUGGAAUUCUGCAGGAUCAGGGUUGGGAACAUCCAAAGGGUGGGGCUAGAGAGUGGAACUAGGAACAAUGUGGGAUGGGUGAAGGAUGGUAAAGAAUACCCCUACAGGUUGGAGAAGGGGAGGCUGAGAACCAAGGACCAGAUGUCCUGACUAUGCAGUUGGAAGGUGAUGGUAGGUGUCAUUAAGUCUCUGUGAAGGCUGGGCCAAUGUUAGCAGGGGAAUAAAGAGGGGGAGUGGCAGGGGGCCAAGGCACCUGAGAGACAAGUGGACCUGGGGUGGAGCCUGUGGCAUGACAGUGAUGGAUGUUGGUGGUAAGUGGGCCCAGGAUUGGGCUGAUUCUGUGGUAUCUCUAGGCUUUUAUGUCUGCCCCCUUUGGGGCCUGAGGCUUUUCAUUCAGAGUUGCAGAGGCACUCAGUGGCAGAUGGGGGUCACCUGAGAGACAGGGUCCCAGGCCCGGUGGGCUGGACUCUGAAUGUGCCUUAGGAGGGGAGAGGAGGGUCACGGCAAGUGAAAGGACAGCUUGUGCAAAGGCAGAGUUGAAGGAAGUCCGGGAUCUCAGAGAUCCAGUUGUACUUCUGCGUGGCUGAAUAUUGAAGCUAGGAGCAGGGCCUGGUGGGGAGUCUUUAAUGCAGGGGUGGGGGAUUCCUGUGGCAGUGGGCCAUUGGAGGUGCAGGCGCAGACAGGCCUGAGGCAGGAUAGGAUUGUGGUUGCUAUGCCACAUACUCUCAGGACACCACAUGGAGAGUGGCCUGUGGGGAGGCCAGGGAGUUGCCAAUGGGGUGAGCUGGUGAGGUUGUGCUAGGGGUGUGGAAUUAUGAGCAUGCCAAGUAUGUUAUGUUCCUGAUAGGGGGGAGGGCAGACUGAAGGGCCUUGGGAGCAAGUAUCUCGACCUAAGGGAGAAUGGCGUGUGUAGGUUUGGUUGCAUCUGAGAGGUGUGAUCUGAAGGACACAGAGGGAAUGGGCUGGGAGGAGAAAGGGUGAGGCCUGUGUGGCUGGACCAGAACAUAGAUGGCAUCCAUCCUGUUGUUGCUGUGGGCUGGAUACAGAGUCCAAUAGUAACAUCAUGAGAACAGCAUCAAUGGUGUUGUGACCUUGGUAUUCUCUCUGAGGUAGAGUUCUGGGGAAAGGGGGAGCAUCAGGAUGUGUUUGGGAGUGGUGGUUUGGGCCUCUGGGGAAAUAGGAUGUCAGUGAGAGAUAUAUUACCCUUCCAUGUCAAAGAACUGGCUGGGUGUGUCCCUUUGUCCAUAUUUUGGUUGUUUUUUCUGCCUAGUCAUCAACCCCUAGGAUCAGUUGCACCCACCACUGCAGGGUAUGCUGACAUGUGAGGAUGUGGCCCUGUAUUUCUCCCAGAAGAAGUGGAGGCUCCUUAAUGUAACCCCAUGUAAUCACCAUGAUGUGAUGUUGAACUUUGAGCUCGUCGGCUCACCGGACUCGGCACCACAUCCUCUAGGAUGAGUGCAUCUGAAUCCACUGCACGACAUCCUGGAGCCGGGUCCUUCUCCUGCUGGCCUCGCAUCUUGAUGUGCCCAGGACCUUUCUCCCUAACAUCCUCAACAACGCGCUCACCCUCCUCCACAAGGCCCCCUACCUGACUAUGGCCUUACACGGGGCAGGCUAUCAGCCUACUGUCCCCUGAGCAUGUUCCAGACCCAUCCCCGGUACCUCAGACCUGCCUGAGUCCAGUGGCCCAGGCACCACCAGACUCAACACUUGUAAAGUCCAACUGCGGAUCUUCUCCAACACUUCCUCCUCCUGCCAAGGCUCCCUGGCCGCUGGUCCCCAGCUCCUCACUGAACUCAGGCUGGAGAGGCUUUUCUGAGCUCCGUCUCCUCCUCCGUGAAGCAGACACCGCGUCCGGGGCGAUGACUCCUGGGCGGCGGCGGGCACGGAUGGGCUUUGAUGGAGGUGAGACCCGAAGGUGAUGCCUCUUUACCGCCAAAAACACUUGCCGAGCUUAAGCCGCGUACAGAGCGCGCAGCCUCCUCUCAGGCCCUCUAUAUUCCAGUUUCCACGGUUCUGAGGAGCCUCCCAAAUUCCCGCCUCCGCGCAGUUACGCAGUCCGUCUGCCGGACGUGGUUCCGAAGGAGGGCGACGCCGGAAGUCCCACCUCCACGAAACGCGGAAAAGCUCCUCUCUGGGGCCCUCAUUGGCUACGUCGGUACGAACGCACAGCAGCGCCCUCCCCUGUCGCCUUGGCAACGAGCAAGCGGCACCGCGAGGGAAGCUGGGAAAUGAGGCCCUAAAGUGACGCUGGCGCUAAGUUAAUGAAGGCGUCUGGAGGCGGCCGGACUUCCGGCGUUGCUCUAGCUGUGCUCUUCUUGCAGCUGUGGGUGGAGACCAGCACUUGGAGAGCCGCGUUGCCGAGAAGAGGGUUGGGGACCCUCGUGGCACCUAUGCGCGCGCCGUGACCCUCGGAAAUAACCCCAUUUUUCUAAGACUCGGUGUCGCCCACUGCGGAACGGGUGCAGGAGGGCCAGGGCCUCCCGCGAGCGGUUCCCUGGUCUUUGAGCACAUUUUACACGGAGGAGACCUAGCUUCGAAGGUUCCGCGGUCGGCCGGAGGUUCCUGCGCCCAAGGCGGGGUGGUAGGUACGGAUUUGAGCUGAGUAGACCGGAAUUCGGCGCCUAUCGCAGCCAAGCUCCGUCCACAGCUUCCGAUGGCCGAGGAGGCGCUGGGGCUGGUGACCUUUGAGGAUGUGGCUGUGUAUUUCUCCCGGGAGGAGUGGGGGCUCCUUAAUCUGACUCAGAGGAGCCUUUACCGUGAUGUGAUGCUAGAGAACUUUGCACUUAUUGGCUCGCUGGGAUUUGCAUCUUCAAGGUGCCAUGUGGUUGCCCAGCUGGAGAGUGAAGAAGAGUUCUGGGUUCCCAGCAUGGUGGACCUGACUCUGGUCAGCAGAGUUGAGGCCAGGAGGGGUCCUGGUCUUGGUUGUCCGUGUAGCCUGAAGGAUGGGGAAACCCCUACAGAGCAGAUGAAGAGUUACAGAGUCUACCUGUCAGAGAAGUCCUCUCUGCUUGGGGAGUCUGGGAAGGACAUGCCUACCACCUUAGGUCUUCUCCGGCACCAGGCCACCCACAGCAAGGGGAAGCCACACAGGAGCACCGAGCAUGGAGAAGCCUUCCAACCCAGCUCCAGUAGCCAACAGCAGCAGGCAGUCCACGCCACACAGAAGGCCUUCAAGUGCAGUGACUGCGGGAAAGCCUUCCCAAAGGCCUUUGCGCUCCUUGACCACCUGGUAACCCACCCCAAAGAGAGACCCUUUAGAUGUCCAAAAGGUGGAAAUGCCCCCACGGAGAAAUCCACCCAUGUUAAUUACCAAAAAAUUCACACUGGAGAAACAUCCCAUGUGUGUACUGAGUGCGGAAAGGCCUUUAGUUAUCCCUCUAAACUGAGGAAGCACCAGAAGGUUCACACGGGCAUAAAACCUUUCAAGUGUGAUGAAUGUGGCAAAACCUUCAACCGCAAAGAUGCACUCGUUCUGCACCAGAGAAUUCACACUGGAGAAAGGCCUUAUGAGUGCAGCGAAUGUGGGAAAGCCUUCAGCGUUCUGUCUACUCUCAUUCGGCACCGGAAAGUUCACAUUGGAGAAAGGCCCUAUGAGUGCAGGGAAUGUGGGAAGUUCUUUAAAUACAACCAUAGCUUCAUUCUUCAUCAGAGAGUUCACACUGGAGAAAGGCCUUAUGAGUGCAAGCAAUGUGGGAAAACUUAUGUGACCCGCUCUGGCCUGUAUCAGCACUGGAAAGUUCACACUGGAGAACGGCCCUAUGAGUGCAGCCUGUGUGGGAAGACCUUCACCACCAGGUCCUACCGCAAUCGGCACCAGCAGUUCCACACUGAAGAGAGGUCCUAUGAGUGUACAGAAUGUGGGAAAGCCUUCAAACAUAGUUCUACCCUUCUUCAGCACAAGAAAGUCCACACUGGAGAAAGGCCAUAAGAAGACAGGGGAUGUUGGAAAGCCUGUAGCUAGGGCUGGCACCUUGUUCAACAUGAAAAACCUCACUCCAGAAAGGAGAGGAGAGUAGCCAUUUGAAAGCUAAACCUGGCACACCCCAACACAUGCGCUGGGGUGGCAGGUGUGUGGGAAGUUUUCAGGAGCUAGGUUGCACUUGGACCUGCCUAGGCUGUUGGCAGUGUUAAGUUGCUGCCAGUUUCCAUGAUACAAACCAUCUCAGCUCCACCACCUGGCAGGUGCCCAAGGUGUGCAUCAGGCACCGCAAUGUGCUCUGGAACAGCAAGACCUCCAUGGUCGCCACUCUUUAAAGGAGAGAAUCAUGAGUGGUGGAGUCCGUGAUGGGCCUCAUUUGCUCCCUCCAACUGGUUCAGGUAUGCCUGUGACCAAGCUCUGGUCAAGAGUAGCUGAGCUGUGUCUACUGGGGGCUUCCAGAGAAGGUUAAUCCUUUCCAUGGACAUCGUUUACACUACGCAUGGUACCUGUCAUGGAUUUAUCCAACCCUGGAACUGACUCACACUUCCCUGGAAUGUAUGUUUGCACUGGGCGGACCUGGAGUCUGAGACUUAGAAGAGCAGCUGUAGUGUAAAGUCACCCUUCAUGGAUGCCACCACAUUCAGAGGUUCAUCCCCAUCUCUUCUCCAUGCAGCAAAGUAAAAUUCCCAAAGGAAUUUCACAUCAGGUCCACCAGGACAUCCAACUCUGCUUUUAGGAAAAGUCACUGCGAAGAGGAGGCAGCAACAAUGCCUUCUCAUCCACCAAGCACUAUGGAUGGAUACUGCAUGCUGAAGCCUCUCAUGUCAGAAAACUCCAGGUCUUUCUCCCCCAGGUCUCACGGAAGGACACGGGAACGUAUAUAGCCCACAUACAUGUUUUGUCAAACUGCUUUUGUACCAAAAUGUUUUUUCAAAUGGCUUCUAACAUAAAACCAAAAGCCACAUAAAAAUCUGCA